rnacentral:tRNA from 1 species
ACUAUUUUGGCAGAUUAGUGCAGAAAAUUUAGAAUUUUCAUAUGUAAUUUAAAUUMCAAAUAGUA